rnacentral:lncRNA from 1 species
UUGCUUUAUAGCAAGAAGACGACGACAAAAAGAGAGGAGAGGGGAAUUGAUGAAAGCUGCCCUCAGAGCUGCUGCUGCACGUGCAGAGUCCUCCGCAGUGAACAGCCUUGUGGAGAUGAUGCAGAAGCUGCAGCUGAAGGACUGAGAGGCGGAGUGUCAGGAAGCAGCGGCUGCAGUGCACGGCGUUACAGGGCAGCGCUGUGAGUGCCGCCCAACUUGGCACUCCAACUUCC